AGUUUGAUCCUGGCUCAGGAUGAACGUUGGCGGCGUGCCUGAGAUAUGCAAGUCGAGCGAUCCCGCCUUUGGCGGGAAGCGGCGAACGGCUGAGUAAUACGUAGGAACCUGCCCCUAAGUCGAGGAUAGUCCGCCGAAAGGCGGAGUAAUACUCGAUGGUCCCCGCUUAAUUUGGUGGGGUAAAGGAUCUAACCGUCNNNCUUAGGGAGGGGCCUGCGGCCUAUCAGGUAGUUGGUAGGGUAACGGCCUACCAAGCCGAUGACGGGUAGCUGGCCUUAUGAGGGUAGUCAGCCAGAGGGGGACUGAGACACGGCCUCCACUCCUACGGGAGGCAGCAAUCAGGAAUCGUCGGCAAUGGGCGAAAGCCUGACCGCGCGACGCCGCGUGCGGGAAGAAGCUCUUCGGAGUGUAAACCGCUGUGGUA
rnacentral:rRNA from 1 species